GGGCCACCGCCCCCCUCUCAGGCCCCGCCCACGGACGACUUUGGGGUCAGUGUGGGACGGGGGUGGAGGACGGAACCGGGCCGAACCCACGCGGGCCGAACCGACUCCAACCGGGCCGAACAGGGCCGAACCGGGCCGAACCGGGCUGGACCGAGCUGGGCUGGAUUGAGCCAAACUCCGCUGGGCUGAAGCAGGCCGAGGUGGGCCGAGCCCACCGGGCCGAACCGAACCGGGCCGAACCGAACCGAACCAGACUGAACUGAACCGAACCG
rnacentral:lncRNA from 1 species